AUUGAACGCUGGCGGCAGGCCUAACACAUGCAAGUCGAGCGGAUGAAGGGAGCUUGCUCCUGGAUUCAGCGGCGGACGGGUGAGUAAUUCCUAGGAAUCUGCCUGGUAGUGGGGGAUAACGUCCGGUAACGGGCGCUAAUACCGCAUACGUCCUGAGGGAGAAAGUGGGGGAUCUUCGGACCUCACGCUAUCAGAUGAGCCUAGGUCGGAUUAGCUAGUUGGUGGGGUAAAGGCCUACCAAGGCGACGAUCCGUAACUGGUCUGAGAGGAUGAUCAGUCACACUGGAACUGAGACACGGUCCAGACUCCUACGGGAGGCAGCAGUGGGGAAUAUUGGACAAUGGGCGAAAGCAUGAUCCAGCAAUGCCGCGUGUGUGAAGAAGGUCUUCGGAUUGUAAAGCACUUUAAGUUGGGAGGAAGGGAAGUAAGUUAAUACCUUGCUGUUUUGACAUUACCAACAGAAUAAGCACCGGCUAACUUCGUG
rnacentral:rRNA from 1 species